CAAUUCAUUUUCUUCUUUUCUAUUAGCCUCAGUUUUCUCUGAAGUGUUUGUCAAAAUGAAGACGAACCAGUUAAAAUCUCUGAAGGGAAACUCUACAUCUGCGCCUGAUAUGGCAACUUAGUUCUUCAGUUACAUUUCCAUGGAAGAAACGUGCAUCCAGUACUGAAUGUGUAACAGCACCCGCCCAAGAGAAUCAUAGUGGAUUGAGGCUGCCAAUUCAUGGUUACUGAUAAGAAGGGGGAGACUUUCUUGGAAACAGAUAAAGGAAAGAGUCCAGUAAUUUGUAGCAAUGUGACUACAGCCACACAUGCUCCAGAAUUAAUGUUCUUCAUUAGGGCCAGAUGUAGCUCAUCAUCGGUUGGAAUCAAUUCCAGAAGAGGUGUUAGAGUCUGUUGGUCCAAGAGAAAGUCUGAUCCAGACACCAAAAAGAGCCAUGAGGAAAAUGGAUACUAUCUCCACUGAUCUCCCAACAAUUUAGGCCCUUUCCAAGUGCUGUGAUUUUACGAUAGUACACAACAAUUACUCAGCAUAUUUCUUUUUUUAUUUAACCCUAUGGGCAAAAGUAUUAGUUUUUGAAGACUUCUUGAAUGCUAUGAAAAAUGUUAAAGAGAUUUUUCUGCAAAACUUUAUAAGACCAGAGCAUCAAGAGAUCCUCAUCUGGACCUGAUUUGGGGAACAUCUUAAAUCUCCUGAUUUCAUUUUCAAAGAAGGUAAGAAAUAUGCCAUCUGGAGGCUGAUUCUUCAUAAAGACUUCAGAACAACCCAGCUGAAAACCAUUCAGUAAUGACUAUCUCUAAUUAUUAAGUUGUUCUGAUUUUCCAUCUAUGAAUUACAUAGAAGAUUAUGAAUCUGUCUCUGGAUUAAUCACAUGACUAAAAAUGCAGAAAUAAAGUGGAUUGCUAGUGUAUGUGGGUCAUUUCUGAUCCUUAGUUUCAGUUAUCUCCUACUUCACAGAAUUGUUUCUUUCAAAGGCUAAGUCCAGGCCAGUCCUGGGCAGAAAUGUCAAUUUGUCCAAGUUCUUCCUUGGCCCUUUCUCUCUAGCUGAGCCCCUCUCUGCUUUUCUUGAAAACUUCUGGAGUUAUCUGUGUUUUUGGUUAUACUCCAAGGACUUUGCUUUCAACUGGUUACCAGCAAAACCUUUCUGGAACAUUUGUUAAUAAAAUUCAAGCAUCCUCCUGACUUCUAGGAAUAGUUUUGUUUUUAUAGGCAACCUUGGGAAAGAGGAAUGGUGAAGAUGACUAUAAGAAUGGUAAUAAAUAAUGAAUGACCUUGUCCAUAAACUUGGUCUGUCAACAAGUACCAAGAUGAACAAGUAUGAGUUUUUACUUCCCAUAUUCCAACAAACAGAAAUCCUGACACAGUAGUAUUUAAUGGAACCAAGGCAUGAAGGGAAAGUAGAUCUUACAGGAAAUUAGAGCCAGGAACUGGAAAACAGAAAUCAAAGUCAUUCUCUCUAUCUCUCCAUGGCCAUGGAGUCUUUGUUCUCUCUGCAGCAGUGCAUGCGCCAUGCCAAAAGUGCAUGAACACACAUGACCGUGCCCUGCAGGAAAUGGCUGUGCAAACUUUGACUCUAUACAACCUCAGUCUCUAGUGCCGAUGGUAUUUUGAUUCUGAAUUCCAAGGAAAGAGAAUUUGAUUGGCCCAAGUGGAGUUAUGUUUCUAACACUGGUCUAUUCAUUUAUGGUCAGUGGGGCCCUGACCAUAUAGAAAUAACAUAGAAGGUAGGGUUGCUCCUUCCUUAGGAGUUGUGAUGAGUAAGUAAUUCUUAAAAAUGAGGCUGUGGACCAGGAAUGCAUUGAAAUAAGAGUCCCCUAUACUACCCUUUCCAGGAGGUGCUAAUGAGCACUAAAGUGUCUAAAGCCACCUUUGAAAAGGAAGCUAGGUGUCAUGGCUGAGAAGGUGCACUCCACAGUCCCACCAGCCAGGCUUGGGGCCAGCCCUAGCACACUCUAUGUGACUUAACUUCCAUGUGCCUCACUCUCUUGGCUUAUAGAAUGGGGAUUGUAUCCCUCACGAGCUUGCUGGGAGGAGUUGCAAAGCUCUUAGUACAGUACCCUGCAUAUAGUAAGAGAUACAUAAGUGUAUAUAAAUGUUGCUUAGCAAAAAUAAAAGCUCUUUAGAAAUAUAGGAAAAUACUGGUCCUGGGUAAUAUAAAUCAUACAGACGUUUCUUGAUCACAUUUGGCAUGGGUAAUGCACUCCUUCCUUGAGGAAACUAUAAUUCUGAGAGAUCGGUAUCAUCAUUAGCUAUAGGGUCUGAAGAAAAUCAG
ensembl:lincRNA